CCCUUAGAUGUUCUGGGCCGCACGCGUGCUACACUGAGUAAUUCAAUGGGUAAGGGAACUCUAGAGCAUUACCUAAUCUUGAAAUUUGCUCGUGAUGGGGAUCGACGGUUGCAAUUUUCCGUCGUGAACGAGGAAUACCUUGUAGGCGCAUGUCAUCAUCAUGCGCCGAAUACGUCCCUGCCCUUUGUACACACCGCCCGUCGCUCCUACCGAUUGAGUGAUCCGGUGAGGCUCUGGGACCUGGACGGAAAGAGCGUUUCGCUUGUUCUGUUUGGGAAACUUGGUCGAACCUUAUCAUUUAGAGGAAGGAGAAGUCGUAACA
rnacentral:rRNA from 1 species